UGCAAGGUCGCGUCUCCGUAAAGACCGUCGACAUUAAUUUGGGGUCAAGUAAAUAGAUUCAGCUGUUACUUGCCGCGUAUUACAUCCUCGUGGGACAAGGGGGUCAAUAUGACUUUGGCGAAAAUGUCGCCCGCGGUUUGUUGCAAAACAAAUUCAAGUAUUCGGUGCAACUGUGCAAUUAGAUGAGUGGGCAAUAAGAUCGAGUCAAUGCAUCGCUAAUCGGGUAUAAAUACGGCAGCUUCGAUUCGACUUAAUCAUAAAGCUGCAUUCAACGAUAAAUAAUCAACCUCGUCAUGAUACGGUUCACCGUUUUGCUUAUCGCCGCGUUGAUAUUUCUGCCGCAUAUCAGUCAGACAUCAGCUGACGACGAAUCCGCUGGGAAUAACUAUUUACAGAUCUUUAACACGUCCGAAAUGAUGCAGCACAUGACUUCAAUUUCGGAUGAAAUGCGGAAACGAGUCCCCAGUUUACCUUUUUAGUCGAUGUUCGACAAAAAUUAAAAUGCACCUUCUAAUUUACAACCCGCAAUUACGAAAAGGAUCAAUCGGACGACAGUCUUAUAAACCGGCAACGAAGAACAAGUCAGACAUAUUCAAGCGAAGACUCGAAGAGGACGAUGUUACAUAUUUCGUGAAAAUAAAACGUGGAAGUUAAGAAAAAAAUUAACAUACAAUUGAUCAAAAUGGAACUGCUUCGAAGUAUUUGGAGACAAAUUUUGAAUGUAAAAAAAUAAAUCCAUUCCUAUUUCUGUA